rnacentral:rRNA from 1 species
GAUGAACGCUGGCGGCGUGCCUAAUACAUGCAAGUCGAGCGAACGGACGAGGAGCUUGCUUCUCUGAUGUUAGCGGCGGACGGGUGAGUAACACGUGGAUAACCUACCUAUAAGACUGGGAUAACUUCGGGAAACCGGAGCUAAUACCGGAUAAUAUUUUGAACCGCAUGGUUCAAAAGUGAAAGACGGUCUUGCUGUCACUUAUAGAUGGAUCCGCGCUGCAUUAGCUAGUUGGUAAGGUAACGGCUUACCAAGGCAACGAUGCAUAGCCGACCUGAGAGGGUGAUCGGCCACACUGGAGCGGAGACGCGCUCCAGCCCCCGACGGGAGGCAGCGGUGGGAAUUCUUCGGCAAGGGGCGAAAGCCUGACGGAGCAACGCGGCGUGAGUGAUGAAGGUCUUCGGUUCGUAAACCUCUGUUAUUGGGGAAGAACAUAGGUGUAAGUAACGGUGCAGUUCUGAACGGAACCUAAUAAGAAGGCCCCGCCAAACUAGUG